AAGUCGUAACAAGGUUUCCGUAGGUGAACCUGCGGAAGGAUCAUUAUCGAGUCUUUGAAGGGGUUGUAUCUGGCCUUUCGGGGCAUGUGAACACCCCGCUCAUCCACUUUACACCUGUGCACCUCUGUAGGAUGGUCUUCGGGCCUCCUAUGUAUUUUAUAAACCCAAUCAGUCUCAGAAUGUAAACCGCGUCUAACGCAAAUAUACAACUUUCAGCAACGGAUCUCUUGGCUCUC
rnacentral:misc_RNA from 1 species